CCUUGCGCGCCGUCUUCCACUCUUUGUUCCGGUUCCGCCCGUCCCCGUGGUGGCUGUGGCCUGGCGUGGCAGAGUCAAGGUUGGUGGCAGCGCAAGCGUCUGUAGCCGUGCUUGCCAUUGAGGCGCACGGUUCCUCGUCAGCACACAGUGUGGCAGACUGCUGGUGCCGUGGGGUUGGGUUGGCCUGCUGGAAGCCCGCUUUGGCGUGGUUGUCUCCGCGUGUGUUGUUCGGCUGCAGCUGUGGAUGGUUCGGCGCGAGGCGGCGCCAGUGAAAGCCGAGCCUAGUCGCGUCCUCCGCCACUUCGUUUGAAGGGGCGCUGCUGUUCUGGCUCCCCCUGUUACCGCAUGCGGCUCCAUUUGGCCAUUUGCGGUCCGCCGCUGGCCUGAAGCUGCGGAUUACUUUUAGAUUCUUUUCCUGUUAGUUUUUUUUUCUUUAUUUCCUUUAUUGUUUAAGGUCCUGCGGGCCCACGGCGGCGACCCAAUUCCUGGUUCUUCACGAUCUAGUGUGUGAGUGUAUGGUACCACGGGUUGUUAAGUUUAGUUUCUCCUCUUCCCCCGAUUUUGGUUUCGUUGGGGCUGCUGUGGUCAGCCUCAGCCCUGUCCAGUGUAGUUCUCCCCCUCCCCCUUUGGGCCAAGUGUAUCUUUUUUUUUUUAAAUAUACAGCUGAUGCUCUAUCGAAUUUUAUACAUUUAUAUAUAUAUAUGUUUUUUGUCAUUUGUUAAAUAAAUUUGAUUUGUCCAGUCCCUUCCUAA